GCCUCCGUAGCCCAAAUGGUAGGGCGUCAGGGACUUCUAUUCUUCUUAUUCUUGUGUUAAAGGUUCAUCUGAAGGGUGCGAGUUCGAGCCCCGCCGGGGUUA
rfam:Paracoccidioides brasiliensis Pb18 unplaced genomic scaffold supercont2.9, whole genome shotgun sequence.